rnacentral:rRNA from 1 species
UACGCAAUCGAUGCCGUGCCUUAGGCAACUAUUCUGGGGUAUGGAUCACGGGUUGCAAAUGCCGUACCUGAUGGUCCCAUAGAUUAGGACAAACGAGGGGUACGAAAGCGAGGAGUCGCAGUCAUGGCCGGGUCUCACGGCGGAAGCGGCGACCACAAGGAGGACUAUAGACGCGUAAAGUGGCGAUGUGGUCCUUAAGGUGUGAGGAGAUGGCCUGAGAUCAGUGUCGUCAUAGCCCACCGCAGGGUCCCAACUCGGGACCUAAAAGUGUGGGCUGAAUGGCUUGGCGGAUGCUCGAGAAAUGCGGGUUAUUAAGGCCUGUUGCGAACGAGGGAUGCAUAAUGGCGCCGACGACCGUGCAUCAACCGGCCUCGAAGAAGACGUCCAUGGCAGUAAAAGCAGGGACGACUUUCCCCAAAUGUUGGGCUUCCGGAAGUAGGGGGUGCGCCGCAACGACGCAGUCCGAAAGCGGGUAACGCGUUCUAAGGGAUGACGACGGAGGGCAUCCUCAGACCCGGCACAGAGUCAGGGUCACACCGACUAGCAGGAGAGUCUGGUCGAUGGGCAGCUACGGAACCACUCGGUAAUGGAGUGG